rnacentral:lncRNA from 1 species
CUCUCUGUCACCCAGGCUGGAGCGCAGUGGUGCGAUCUCGGCUCACCACAACCUCCGCCUCCCGGGUUCAAGCAAUUCUCCUGCCUCGGCCUCUCGAGUAGCUGGGAUUACAGGCAUGUGCCACCACGUCCGGCUAAUUUUUGUAUUUUUAGUAGAGAUGGGGUUUCUCCGUGUUGGUCAGGCUGGUCUCGAACUCCCGACCUCAGGUGAUCCGCCCACCUCGGCCUCCCAAAGUGCUGGGAUUACAGGCGUGAGCCACCGCUCCCGGCCUAAACCACUUUAAAGUGUAUGAUUCAAGGGCAGUAUGUAGAUUCAUCCUGUUGGAUCAUUUCUAGACUUUUUCAUCAUCCUAAAACGAAACCCCAAGCUGCUUAUCUUCCUCCCCUAGCACCUGGCAACCUCCAAUCUGUGUCGCCUCUACGGAUUUGCCAAUUCGAGACAUUUCAUCUGGAUGGAAUCAUACGCUAUGUGGCCUUUUUUGUUUGGCUUCUUUCACUAGCAUAACGUUUCCCGGGUUCCUCCACACUGCAGCAUGCAUCGGUGCUCCAUUCCUUUUUGUAGCCGAAUAAUAUUCCAUUGCAUGGACAGAUCACAUUUUACUUUUAUUUUCUAAUUCAACAGUGAGACCUGGUGUGGGCCCCGGCGCUGGGCCUGGGAGGCGAGGGAGGGGAUGGAAGAGAGCCCCGUGACUGGCAGGAGGCACUGUGGAGUGUGGGGAGAAGGGGUCGGGAUCUGCAUGCUAGAGAGAAUAGGAUUUUAUUUACACGUGGCAAUGUUUAUGGAGGCCAAUGCACAACUGCCAUUAUGGGACGCGGACUCCUUUGAAAGUCUCAUUUGUGUAAAAGGAAAAGCAGUAGUUCAUGAGGAGGGGGAGAAGGGCUCAAGGACAGCAAGGUAAACUACCCCUGGGGCGGGGGAACGUGGUCGUCGGUGGGCCCAGCUUUGGAGGCUAGGCCCGUGAAGGUCGCCCCGUGAGCAGGUCCAGGGCAGGCCGAGUGCCCCGGGGCCCGCAUUCAUUGCUUACAGAGCAAGGGGAGCCUCCCGGGAGGGAAAUCCAACGGUUGGAAACUUCGAUUUAUCCCAAAGGCGUGCCGAGUGGGAAGGCAACAUUUUGAUUUCCCAAACGUUGCGGCCAGCGGCUUCUUCCACGGCAGGCGCCUUCAGGUCUCUCCGCAGGGUCGGGACCCCGGGCGGCGCGCGGCCUCUGGGACGCCGAGGGAGGGCGGGCCCACAGCGCCCGGAGCGCGGACAGCGGCCACAGCCCGCCGCCUAGAAGCGGCGCCGCCCGGGGCGGGGGGCGGAGCCGAG